rnacentral:rRNA from 1 species
GAUGAACGCUGGCGGCGUGCCUAAUACAUGCAAGUCGAGCGAACAGACGAGGAGCUUGCUCCUCUGACGUUAGCGGCGGACGGGUGAGUAACACGUGGAUAACCUACCUAUAAGACUGGGAUAACUUCGGGAAACCGGAGCUAAUACCGGAUAAUAUAUUGAACCGCAUGGUUCAAUAGUGAAAGACGGUUUUGCUGUCACUUAUAGAUGGAUCCGCGCCGCAUUAGCUAGUUGGUAAGGUAACGGCUUACCAAGGCAACGAUGCGUAGCCGACCUGAGAGGGUGAUCGGCCACACUGGAACUGAGACACGGUCCAGACUCCUACGGGAGGCAGCAGUAGGGAAUCUUCCGCAAUGGGCGAAAGCCUGACGGAGCAACGCCGGGUGAGUGAUGAAGGUCUUCGGAUCGUAAAACUCUGUUAUUAGGGAAGAACAAAUGUGUAAGUAACUAUGCACGUCUUGACGGUGCCUAAUCAGAAAGCCACGGCUAACUACGUG